rnacentral:rRNA from 1 species
UUGCCUACGGGAGGCAGCAGUGGGGAAUAUUGGACAAUGGGGGGAACCCUGAUCCAGCCAUGCCGCGUGUGUGAAGAAGGCCUUAUGGUUGUAAAGCACUUUAAGCGAGGAGGAGGGUACUGGUAUUAAUACUACCAGCUACUGGACGUUACUCGCAGAAUAAGCACCGGCUAACUCUGUGCCAGCAGCCGCGGUAAUACAGAGGGUGCGAGCGUUAAUCGGAUUUACUGGGCGUAAAGCGUGCGUAGGCGGCUAAUUGAGUCGGAUGUGAAAUCCCCGAGCUUAACUUGGGAAUUGCAUUCGAU